CAUAACUUUCUACUUCAAGAAACUGGUAAGGGGUAACAAGAUGGCGACUGAGACGGUGGAGCUUCAUAAGCUGAAGCUUGCUGAACUAAAGCAGGAGUGUCUUGCUCGUGGUUUGGAGACCAAGGGAAUAAAACAAGAUCUCAUCAACAGGCUCCAGGCAUAUCUUGAAGAGCAUGCUGAAGAGGAGGCAAAUGAAGAAGAGGUACUGGGAGAUGAAACAGAGGAAGAAGAACCAAAGACCUUAGAACUGCCUGUCAAAGAGGAAGAACCUCCUGAAAAAACGGUUGAUGUGGCAGCAGAGAAAAAAGUGGUAAAAAUUACAUCUGAAAUACCACAGACUGAGAGGAUGCAGAGGAGAGCUGAAUGAUUCAAUGUACCUGUGAGUUUGGAGAGUAAGAAAGCUGCCCGGGCAACUAGAUUUGGGAUUUCUCCAGUUCCAUCAAAAGGUCUGUCGUGUGACACCAGGCCUAUGGUUAACCUGGAUAAGCUAAAAGAAAGAGCUCAAAGGUUUGGUUUGAGUGUCUCUUCAAUCUCCAGAAAGUCAGAGGAUGACGAAAAGCUGAAAAAGAGGAAGGAACAAUUUGGGAUUGUCACAAGUUCAGCUGGAACAGGAACCACAGAGGAUACAGAGGCAAAGCAGAGGCAAAGAGCAGAGCGCUGUGGAAUUGCUUGAUGAAAAGCUUUUAAUGCUUUCUGUUCUCCGGUGUUUUCCACCUCUUUGACUCUUCC